GAUGAACGCUAGCGGCAGGCCUAAUACAUGCAAGUCGAACGGGUGGUCGCAAGACCCCUGGUGGCGCACGGGUGCGUAACGCGUAACCAACCUGCUCCGAUCUGGGGGAUAGCCCGCCGAAAGGCGGAUUAAUACCGCAUAUACCCGCAGCCUGGCAUCAGGCAACGGGGAAAGAUUUAUUGGAUCGGGGUGGGGGUGCGUGACAUUAGCUAGUUGGCUGGGUAAGGGCCCGCCAAGGCGACGAUGUCUCGGGGAGCUGCGUGGGUGAUCCCCCACACUGGCAACGGGCUAGGGGCCAGCGGGAGACGGGAGGCGGCAGUAGGGAAUAUUGGGCAAUAGGCUAGAGCAGGAACCAGGCGUGCGGCGUGAAGGAUGAAGGCCUUCUGAGUUGUAAACGGCUUAUCGAAGGGAAGAAGAAGACCUUGCGGCGUACCCGGAGGUAACCAGAGGAAUAAGCACCGGCAACUUCCGG
rnacentral:rRNA from 1 species